UGGCGGACGGGUGAGUAAUGUCUGGGAAACUGCCCGAUGGAGGGGGAUAACUACUGGAAACGGUAGCUAAUACCGCAUAACGUCGCAAGACCAAAGAGGGGGACCUUCGGGCCUCUUGCCAUCGGAUGUGCCCAGAUGGGAUUAGCUAGUAGGUGGGUAACGGCUCACCUAGGCGACGAUCCCUAGCUGGUCUGAGAGGAUGACCAGCCACACUGGACUGAGACACGGCCAG
rnacentral:rRNA from 1 species